GGGCCCGUAGCUCAGUUGGUUAGAGCAGGGGACUCAUAAUCCCUUGGCCGCAGGUUCGAGUCCUGCCGGGCCCA
rnacentral:tRNA from 1 species